rnacentral:rRNA from 1 species
AGUGAACGCUGGCGGCAGGCCUAACACAUGCAAGUCGAACGGCAGCACAGAGGAGCUUGCUCCUUGGGUGGCGAGUGGCGGACGGGUGAGGAAUACAUCGGAAUCUGCCCUGUCGUGGGGGAUAACGUAGGGAAACUUACGCUAAUACCGCAUACGACCUUCGGGUGAAAGAGGGGGAUCGCAAGACCUCGCUCGAUUGGAUGAGCCGAUGUCGGAUUAGCUAGUUGGCGGGGUAAAGGCCCACCAAGGCGACGAUCCGUAGCUGGGCUGAGAGGAUGAUCAGCCACACUGGAACUGAGACACGGUCCAGACUCCUACGGGAGGCAGCAGUGGGGAAUAUUGGACAAUGGGCGCAAGCCUGAUCCAGCCAUGCCGCGUGAGUGAAGAAGGCCUUCGGGUUGUAAAGCUCUUUUGUCCGGAAAGAAAAGCUUCCGAUUAAUACUCGGGAGUCAUGACGGUACCGGAAGAAUAAGCACCGGCUAACUUCGUGCCAGCCGCCGCCGUAAAAC